UUUCACCCCGAUCGACCAAAGCUUAAUUAAUCCCUAAGACGUGUAAAACAUACUUCUUGCUGCUGGCUUUGCUCCUUGGAGUGGUGAUUCUCGCCACUCCCACCAUUGCCGACGACCACAAGCCACCGUCAGCAGAGGAGGAAGCUCUGUAAGAAACCUACCAUGGUAAGCCAUCAAAAUAUAAGUCUUAUAAGCCCCCGCCAAAGCACUACCCACCAAAGGGUAAGGGAGAGAAGCCACCUCAUGGACACUUUCCCGAUCACCCUCCGAUGGAGGAUGUGGACGACUCAUACCACAAGGCACCCACGAAGAAAUAUCCUCCAAAGAAACCACUACACAAGCCUCCUACUUCCAACUGAAUGACUAGCUAGCUAGCCCAUGCUUGAUAAUUAAAUUAUGUUGUACGAUGAAAGUAAAUAAGAGCUUUUAGUGAUGCAAUCCCAUUAUAAGACACUUUUAA
rnacentral:lncRNA from 1 species